UACGUAGGGUGCGAGCGUUGUCCGGAAUUAUUGGGCGUAAAGGGCUCGUAGGCGGUCUGUUGCGUCAGGAGUGAAAACUCGGGGCUUAACCCCCGAGCCUGCUUCUGAUACGGGCAGACUAGAGGUAUGCAGGGGGAGAACGGAAUUCCUGGUGUAGCGGUGAAAUGCGCAGAUAUCAGGAAGGAACACCCGUGGCGAAGGCGGCUCUCUGGGACGGUACUGACGCUGAGACGCGAAAGCGUGGGGAGCGAACAGG
rnacentral:rRNA from 1 species